UCUUUCACUUACCUUUUCCACUCAAGCUCUCUCUCAAAUCUACCUCCAAGCCCUAACUCUGCUCCAAGCCCUUUCAGUUGACGACGCCCAGCCACCGUCCUUUCCCUCCUCACGAUUUGCACCGGUGCGCCACUCCGACGACCUGUAGUUCAUGCCUUUCACGAUCUCACUCACCCAGCUAUAGAAGCAGGGGAGACCAACGGAUGAUGCGUUCUUCGGAGACCUACGAACAGCUAGCGGCAUCGACAGAUCUCAGGGCAACACCCACCACACGAAGACCGGACGAACGACGACCCCUUCUAUUUCUGCCAACAACAAUCAAAUCUACGGCUCUUCCUUUUGCUGGCUUUUCUAUGGCUAUGUUUCUGUUCUACUCGUUCGCCCCAGUAUUGCUUUAGAGCCAAACAGUGAUGCAAGAUGGCAGUGGUCGGUGGACCUAUGACGCUUAGAUCUAUCGUGAGCCUCUCCUGCGCGACGACUAGCAAACCCUACCACCCAUCAAUGGCGUUACCAUGGGGCAGCAAGGAACGACUUUUAGCAGAUGAUGGUGAACAACGACUUUUAGAUAAACUGAGUUCGUUUAUAUUUGCAUUGAGAUGGCUAGAGUAUCUGGUGUUUCUAUUUCAUUUCUUCAUUCAAGAUGUCAAAGUAUCAAGGUACCUCUCAAUUUCUUAGAGAAGGUAAAAUAGAAAAGCGUUGUUAUUCCAAAUGCUAAACAAAUAGGACAUGACCAAGGAACUUCUAACAUUGCUACUGCUUCUAUGAAAACCCCGUUGCUAUGUUGGAUUUUGCAUCUCUGUAUCCAUCAUCGUGAUGACAUAUAAUUUAUAUUAUUGCAGUUUGGUGUUUGGCAUGAGUUGAUGCAGCCUUGAGAGCUCCAAUGGCUGGGUGUAUAGUUUUCGUUAAAAGAAGUAACAUCUUGGUAAAACCAUUUUCUUCCUCUUAAACAUAAACUAUUUGAAUGUUGACUUAUGUAGUGAUUGAGUGUUGUUUUGUCUCUGUCCUCUUUGUUAAUUUAUGUGCACUCUAAAAUGAAUCUAGAAGUAGUAACUUGUAUCGUCUCACAACUGUUCUGAACCAAUUUGGAUUCAUUGGAAAGUACUGUGAAAUUAAAUGAUAAGUAGAAAAUCACUUUUGCGGAGCGAACAUUAAGAAAGAAUUAACAAAUGACAACCUAUUCAAUAACCUAACUUUUAUUAGAGGUUUAAGAAUCUUUUUGUGUCAGAAAAUAAAAAUUGUACUCAUAUUUAAGGUUCAUGUUUUUGCUUAUUUGUACUUAAACUUGACUUAAAAAUAAGAAUUUAGAUACAAGAGUUUCUGUAAUAUGUUAGCUACAUUUUGUAGUUUGACCUUUCACGUUUACGCGAUAUGAACUCUAACAAUAUAUAAUAGUAAUAUUUCAGUUACAUUUGUUGUAGUUUGACCUUUUGCAGAUACUAUUGUGAAAUAUUUGAGGUUUUUGUCUAUUGCUUAGGUCUUCCAAGAAUAACCUGGAGAACCAUGGCGAAUAGCUACUUGGAAUAUUUAAAAUAUGACCGUUUGGGCCAUUUUUUGUUGGAUUAGCAGUUACUUGGGUACAAUUUUUGUUUAUAUACGAGAUUGGACAUGAAAAACCUUCGUUUAUGUAUAUAUAAUUUACUAUAUGUAUACACUUUAUAUUUGUAGG